GGGGGGGGGGGGGGGGGGGGGGGGGGGGGGGGGGGGGGGGGGGGGGGGGGGGCGGGGGGGGGGGGGUCGGGGGGCGAGCGGGUGGGUGACACGUGGGUGACCUGCGCGUGGCUGUGGGGGAACGGCAGGAAACGGGGGCUAAGACCGGAUAGGAGGGCCUGCUGCAGGGGGGGGGGUGGAAAGGUGAGGCGGUUGGGGAUGGACUCGCGGCUUAUCAGCGUGUGGGUGGGGUAGUGGCUUACCAAGGCUUUGACGGGUAGCCGGCCUGCGAGGGUGACCGGCCACAUUGGGACUGAGAUACGGCCCGGACUCCUACGGGAGGCAGCAGUGGGGAAUAUUGCACAAUGGGCGGAAGCCUGAUGCAGCAACGCCGCGUGCGGGAUGACGGCCUUCGGGUUGUAAACCGCUUUCGCCUGUGACGAAGCGUGAGUGACGGUAAUGGGUAAAGAAGCACCGGCUAACUACGUG
rnacentral:rRNA from 1 species